ACCUGCCUGUAAGACUGGGAUAACUCCGGCAAACCGGGGCUAAUACCGGAUGCUUGUUUGAACCGCAUGGUUCAAACAUAAAAGGUGGCUUCGGCUACCACUUACAGAUGGACCCGCGGCGCAUUAGCUAGUUGGUGAGGUAAUGGCUCACCAAGGCAACGAUGCGUAGCCGACCUGAGAGGGUGAUCGGCCACACUGGGACUGAGACACGGCCCARACUCCUACGGGAGGCAGCAGUAGGGAAUCUUCCGCAAUGGACGAAAGUCUGACGGAGCAACGCCGCGUGAGUGAUGAAGGUUUUCGGAUCGUAAAGCUCUGUUGUUAGGGAAGAACAAGUACCGUUCGAAUAGGGCGGUACCUUGACGGUACCUAACCAGAAAGCCACGGCUAACUACGUGCCAGCAGCCGCGGUAAUACGUAGGUGGCAAGCGUUGUCCGGAAUUAUUGGGCGUAAAGGGCUCGCAGGCGGUUCCUUAAGUCUGAUGUGAAAGCCCCCGGCUCAACCGGGGAGGGUCAUUGGAAACUGGGGAACUUGAGUGCAGAAGAGGAGAGUGGAAUUCCACGUGUAGCGGUGAAAUGCGUAGAGAUGUGGAGGAACACCAGUGGCGAAGGCGACUCUCUGGUCUGUAACUGACGCUGAGGAGCGAAAGCGUGGGGAGCGAACAGGAUUAGAUACCCUGGUAGUCCACGCCGUAAACGAUGAGUGCUAAGUGUUAGGGGGUUUCCGCCCCUUAGUGCUGCAGCUAACGCAUUAAGCACUCCGACCUGGGGGAGUACGGUCGCAGACUGAAACUCAAAGGAAUUUGGACGGGGGCCSGCACAGCCGGKKGGAAGCCAUAGUCGGGCUUUUAUA
rnacentral:rRNA from 1 species